CCGCCUUUUCCAGCCACAUUCCCUCCUUUUCCUGCCUUUCCCAGCCUCGUUCCCAGCUUUUCCCACCUUUCCCAGCCAAAUUCCCUCAGGAAAAGCUCUGGGAGAUCCACUUUGGGUUCAAACUCAUCCCAGGAAAAAAAACUUGGAUCCCUCAGGAAUUGGGGUCUCAGGAAUUGGAUCCCUCAGGAAUUGGAAUCCUCAGGAAUUGGGGGUCUCAGGACUUGGAUCCCUCAGGAAUUGGAUCCCUCAGGAUUUGGGGGUCUCAGAUCCCUCAGGAUUUGGGGGUCUCAGGACUUGGAUCCCUCAGGAAUUGGAUCCCUCAGGAUUUGGGGUCUCAGGGCUUGGAUCCCUCAGGAAUUGGAAUCCUCAGGAUUUGGGGUCUCAGGGUUCAGAUCCCUCAGGAUUUGGGGGUCUCAGCCCCUCAGGAAUUGGAUCCCUCAGGAAUUGGGGGUCUCAGAUCCCUCAGGAUUUGGGGGUCUCAGGGCUCAGAUCCCUGAGGAUUUGGGGGUCUCGAGGCUCUGAUCCCUCAGGAAUUUGGGGUCUCAGGGCUUGGAUCCCUCAGGAAUUGGGAGCCUCAGAUCCCUCAGGAAUUUGGGGUCUCAGGGCUCAGAAUCCUCAGGAAUUUGGGGUCUCAGGGCUUGGAUCCCUCAGGAAUUGGGAGCCUCAGAUCCCUCAGGAAUUGGGGGGUCUCAGGAAUUGGAUCCCUCAGGAAUUGGGAGCCUCAGAUCCCUCAGGAAUUGGAUCCCUCAGGAUUUGGGGGCCUCAGGGCUCUCAUCCCAGGAAUUGGGGGUCUCAGUGCUCGGAUCCCUCAGGAUUUGGGGGUCUCAGCCCCUCAGGAAUUGGAAUCCCUCAGGAUUUGGGGGUCUCAGGGCUCUCAUCCCAGGAACUGGGGGUCUCAGGGCUCUGAUCCCUCAAAAAUUGGGGAUCCCAAGGCUCUGAUCCCUCAGGAAUUGGUGGGAUCUCCCCCCCCUCACCCCUCAGAGGGGGGAUCUCCCCCCCC
rnacentral:lncRNA from 1 species